rnacentral:snoRNA from 1 species
AAUCCAUGGUGAAGACAUUUUCUUAACAAAUCCUUAUACCUCUCUUAAACCUCAUAUAGUGAUUUAAAAUCAAAUUGCAUGAAAGAAGUGGUAUCAUUCCUCAUAUU